rnacentral:rRNA from 1 species
AGGGCCUAACCCUGGGAAAGCAGUGGAAACUAGUAGGCUUGAGUGUGGUAGAGGUAGAGGGAAUUCCUGGUGUAGCGGUGAAAUGCGUAGAUAUUAGGAAGAACACCAACGGCGAAAGCACUCUACUGGGCCAUAACUGACACUGAGAGACGACAGCUAGGGGAGCAAAUGGGAUUAGAUACCCCAGUAGUCCUAGCCGUAAA